GAAAGGCCCUUCGGGGUGCUCGAGUGGCGAACGGGUGAGUAACACGUGGGUGAUCUGCCCUGCACUUUGGGAUAAGCCUGGGAAACUGGGUCUAAUACCGAAUAGGACCACGGCAUUCAUGUGCUGUGGUGGAAAGCUUUUGCGGUGUGGGAUGGGCCCGCGGCCUAUCAGCUUGUUGGUGGGGUAAUGGCCUACCAAGGCGACGACGGGUAGCCGGCCUGAGAGGGUGACCGGCCACACUGGGACUGAGAUACGGCCCAGACUCCUACGGGAGGCAGCAGUGGGGAAUAUUGCACAAUGGGCGCAAGCCUGAUGCAGCGACGCCGCGUGAGGGAUGACGGCCUUCGGGUUGUAAACCUCUUUCAGUACCGACGAAGCGCGAGUGACGGUAGGUACAGAAGAAGGACCGGCCAACUACGUGCCAGCAGCCGCGGUAAUACGUAGGGUCCGAGCGUUGUCCGGAAUUACUGGGCGUAAAGAGCUCGUAGGUGGUUUGUCGCGUUGUUCGUGAAAACUCACAGCUUAACUGUGGGCGUGCGGGCGAUACGGGCAGACUGGAGUACUGCAGGGGAGACUGGAAUUCCUGGUGUAGCGGUGGAAUGCGCAGAUAUCAGGAGGAACACCGGUGGCGAAGGCGGGUCUCUGGGCAGUAACUGACGCUGAGGAGCGAAAGCGUGGGGAGCGAACAGGAUU
rnacentral:rRNA from 2 species